UGAGGAAUAUUGGACAAUGGUCGGAAGACUGAUCCAGCCAUGCCGCGUGCAGGAAGACGGCCUUAUGGGUUGUAAACUGCUUUUGCAGGGGAAGAAUAAGGACUACGCGUAGUUUGAUGACGGUACUCUGCGAAUAAGCAUCGGCUAACUCCGUGCCAGCAGCCGCGGUAAUACGGAGGAUGCGAGCGUUAUCCGGAAUCAUUGGGUUUAAAGGGUCCGUAGGCGGGCUAAUAAGUCAGAGGUGAAAGCGCUCAGCUCAACUGAGCAACUGCCUUUGAAACUGUUAGUCUUGAAUGGUUGUGGAGUAGUUGGAAUGUGUAGUGUAGCGGUGAAAUGCUUAGAUAUUACACAGAACACCGAUAGCGAAGGCAUAUUACUAACAAUUAAUUGACGCUGAUGGACGAAAGCGUGGGGAGCGAACAGGAUUAGAUACCCUGGUAGUCCACGCUGUAAACGAUGGAUACUAGCUGCAUGGACGCAAGUUUGAGUGGGUAAGCGAAAGUGAUAAGUAUCCCACCUGGGGAGUACGCACGCAAGUGUG
rnacentral:rRNA from 1 species